rnacentral:rRNA from 1 species
UACGUAGGGGGCUAGCGUUGUCCGGAAUCAUUGGGCGUAAAGAGCGUGUAGGCGGCCCGGUAAGUCCGCUGUAAAAGUCAAAGGCUCAACCUUUGAAUGUCAGUGGAUACUGCCGGGCUAGAGUCCGGAAGAGGCGAGUGGAACUCCUGGUGUAGCGGUGGAAUGCGCAGAUAUCAGGAAGAACACCGAUGGCGAAGGCAGCUCGCUGGGACGGUACUGACGCUGAGACGCGAAAGCGUGGGGAGCGAACAGG